UNUGACUUGAGUGCAGAAGGGGAGAGUGGAAUUCCAUGUGUAGCGGUGAAAUGCGUAGAUAUAUGGAGGAACACCAGUGGCGAAAGCGGCUCCNUGGUCUGUCACUGACGCUGAGGCUCGAAAGCGUGGGUAGCGAACAGGAUUAGAUGCCCUGGUAGUCCACGCCGUAAACGAUGAGUGCUAGGUGUUAGGCCCUUUCCGGGGCUUAGUGCCGGAGCUAACGCAAUAAGCACUCCGCCUGGGGAGUACGACCGCAAGGUUGAAACUCAAAGGAAUUGACGGGGGCCCGCACAAGCGGUGGAGCAUGUGGUUUAAUUCGAAGCAACGCGAAGAACCUUACCAGGUCUUGACAUCCCGAUGCUAUUCUUAGAGAUAGGAAGUUACUUCGGUACAUCGGAGACAGGUGGUGCAUGGUUGUCGUCAGCUCGUGUCGUGAGAUGUUGGGUUAAGUCCCGCAACGAGCGCAACCCUUAUUGUUAGUUGCCAUCAUUAAGUUGGGCACUCUAGCGAGACUGCCGGUAAUAAACCGGAGGAAGGUGGGGAUGACGUCAAAUCAUCAUGCCCCUUAUGACCUGGGCUACACACGUGCUACAAUGGUCGGUACAACGAGUUGCGAGCCGGUGACGGCAAGCUAAUCUCUGAAAGCCGAUCUCAGUUCGGGUUGGAGGCUGCAACUCGCCUCCAUGAAGUCGGAAUCGCUAGUAAUCGCGGAUCAGCACGCCGCGGUGAAUACGUUCCCGGGCCUUGUACACACCGCCCGUCACACCACGAGAGUUUGUAACACCCGAAG
rnacentral:rRNA from 1 species